GUCCUUGCAGCGGUCGCGGUACUUGGACUGCGUCGCGUUGUAUUCCGUCAUCACCUCCACGAACUUGCGGGACAGCGUCGAGUGCUGGGGGAGUGACAGGUGAUUGACAGGUGAUUGACAGGUGUGAUUGACAGGGGAUUGACAGGGGAUUGACAGGAGAUUGACAGGUGAAUUUGACACGUGAUUGAUA